UCGAGUCGAGGUCUCCGGUAACGUAGGAUCUACGUUGCGCCUCCUCGAUAUUUUAAGUCAUUUUUUUUACCCUUUUUUUGAGUGCUAAUGCAUGGAGAGGCGUCCUGGUGAGUCUGCGCGAGUGCUGAGUGGCGUUUCUCCCACUCUCUCUUCCUCCCAUGGUAAUCCCGCGCGCCUCCUCCCACGCACAGCAGCAUCGCCAAAGUGUCCGGGUGUCCGCCUUGUCGCGCCUCGCCUCGCCUCCCCCGCGCCUCGCCUUGUGUUCCGUGUUCCGUGUAAGGCAAUCAAAGCAGUUCCCGGAAUGAGGGCCGAGUCUCCACCACACCGAGCUCUCAGGGCAGAACACAGCGGCAGGCGACACACCCUCCCUCAACGACGGCCGCGGGAGCACUGGUGGUUGGCGAGGCAGGAGCUGAACUGUACCUCUCCCGGCUGAUUCGAGAGCUUCAUCCUGCUCUUCACACACACACACACACACACACACACACACACACACACACACACACACACACACACACACGGUAUCAUUGCAGUGGCCGCAUGAGUGACGUCACCAGCCAAUCACCAGUCACCAAUCAGCCUGACCCCGUGACCUCCAAUAGGAGACGAGCACUGAUGGAGAGCUGGCCAAUCAGGAGGAAAAGAGGAAGAGGAAAAGGAAGAGGAAGAAGAGGAGGAGAAUGAUAGAGGAGGAG